CUACCUACACUACCUUAAGGGUUUUAGUGUAAGGAAUGGACACUACCUACACUACCUUAAGGGUUUUAGUGUAAGGAAUGGACACUACCUACACUAUCUUAAGGGUUUUAGUGUAAGGAAUGGACACUACCUACACUACCUUAAGGGUUUUAGUGUAAGGAAUGGACACUACCUACACUACCUUAAGGGUUUUAGUGUAAGGAAUCAAUCUUGCCGUUUCAUCCUGUGGACUAAAGGGCCUACGACUCUACAACAACCUCUGACCCAAGAGCCUGAGACUCUACAACAACCUCUGACCCAAGAGCCUGAGACUCUACAACAACUUCUGACCCAAGAGCCUGAGACUCUACAACAACUUCUGACCCAAGAGCCUGAGACUCUACAACAACCUCUGACCCAAGAGGAGUACAGUGCAAUUAACUUGUUGGGCCUACUGGUGAUAUAAUUACUUCCAUUCUGUAAAGGACAAAGGAAAGCUAAUGUACAUGGACCUUAAGCACUGGAUUAUGUAUUAAGAUUGGCAGGCUCUUUUAUGUCUCUCUUUAUGACAAGUAACUAAACGUCACAGUGGAUUUUUUUUAAUAUAGUGUACAGUUACAAUUGUUUUCUUUUACAGCAAUUAGCAUUGAAUGUGUUAUCAUGUGUUGUUGUCUGUGGUUUAAAUUUGCAUGGUCAUUGAUGGCUACUUAUUUAUAACUAUGUUACAGUAGUACAAGAUGGACCACCCAUUCGAAUGUUCAUUUCCUGUCAGUGUAUUUCCCUGUCCAGCGGUCUUCUCCCUUCUGUCUAGACUAGGGUUUAGUCCCUCUGUGGGAGUUUAUGUCUGGCACAUAAAAUGACCUUGGUUUUGCCUCAGUUUUAUCUGUCAUAGUUGAAUGUAUGUAAGUCUUGUUUAAGUAUGUAAAAGUCUUUUUUUUCAUAGAGUUGCUUCAUAUCCAAAUGCUGGAGAGAAUUCUGCUCACACGUGGAUACUUAAUGUGGAGGGAGAGAGAGAGAGGAGAGAGAGGGGGGGGGAGAGGGAGAGGGAGGCAGAGAGUGGGG
ensembl:lncRNA